AUCCAGUUGACGAGUCCCAAAUAGGACGAAACGCGCUUCCUGCAU
rfam:Schistosoma mansoni strain Puerto Rico chromosome 6, complete genome